GAUAUGUGAAUACAUAGCAUAUCAGAAGGCACACCCGGAGAACUGAAACAUCUUAGUACCCGGAGGAAGAGAAAGAAAAUUCGAUUCCCUUAGUAGCGGCGAGCGAAACGGGAAGAGCCCAAACCAACAAGCUUGCUUGUUGGGGUUGUAGGACACUCUAUACGGAGUUACAAAGGACGACAUUAGACGAAUCAUCUGGAAAGAUGAAUCAAAGAAGGUAAUAAUCCUGUAGUCGAAAAUGUUGUCUCUCUUGAGUGGAUCCUGAGUACGACGGAGCACGUGAAAUUCCGUCGGAAUCUGGGAGGACCAUCUCCUAAGGCUAAAUACUCUCUAGUGACCGAUAGUGAACCAGUACCGUGAGGGAAAGGUGAAAAGCACCCCGGAAGGGGAGUGAAAUAGAACCUGAAACCGUGUGCUUACAAGUAGUCAGAGCCCGUUAAUGGGUGAUGGCGUGCCUUUUGUAGAAUGAACCGGCGAGUUACGAUUUGAUGCAAGGUUAAGCAGUAAAUGUGGAGCCGUAGCGAAAGCGAGUCUGAAUAGGGCGUUUAGUAUUUGGUCGUAGACCCGAAACCAGGUGAUCUACCCUUGGUCAGGUUGAAGUUCAGGUAACACUGAAUGGAGGACCGAACCGACUUACGUUGAAAAGUGAGCGGAUGAACUGAGGGUAGCGGAGAAAUUCCAAUCGAACCUGGAGAUAGCUGGUUCUCUCCGAAAUAGCUUUAGGGCUAGCCUCAAGUGAUGAUUAUUGGAGGUAGAGCACUGUUUGGACGAGGGGCCCCUCUCGGGUUACCGAAUUCAGACAAACUCCGAAUGCCAAUUAAUUUAACUUGGGAGUCAGAACAUGGGUGAUAAGGUCCGUGUUCGAAAGGGAAACAGCCCAGACCACCAGCUAAGGUCCCAAAAUAUAUGUUAAGUGGAAAAGGAUGUGGCGUUGCCCAGACAACUAGGAUGUUGGCUUAGAAGCAGCCAUCAUUUAAAGAGUGCGUAAUAGCUCACUAGUCGAGUGACACUGCGCCGAAAAUGUACCGGGGCUAAACAUAUUACCGAAGCUGUGGAUUGUCCUUUGGACAAUGGUAGGAGAGCGUUCUAAGGGCGUUGAAGCAUGAUCGUAAGGACAUGUGGAGCGCUUAGAAGUGAGAAUGCCGGUGUGAGUAGCGAAAGACGGGUGAGAAUCCCGUCCACCGAUUGACUAAGGUUUCCAGAGGAAGGCUCGUCCGCUCUGGGUUAGUCGGGUCCUAAGCUGAGGCCGACAGGCGUAGGCGAUGGAUAACAGGUUGAUAUUCC
rnacentral:rRNA from 1 species